rnacentral:rRNA from 1 species
UACCCCACUAUGCUCAGCCCUAAACUAAGAGAGANUCAUCCGCCAGGGUACUACGAGCACAGCUUAAAACCCAAAGGACUUGGCGGUGCUUCAGAUCCCCCUAGAGGAGCCUGUUCUAUAACCGAUAAUCCCCGUUUAACCUUACCAUUUCUUGUUUAUUCCGCCUAUAUACCACCGUCGUCAGCUCACCCUGUGAAGGAUUUAAAGUAAGCACAAUGAAUAAAGCCCAAAACGUCAGGUCGAGGUGUAGCGUACGAAAUGGAAAGAAAUGGGCUACAUUUUCUAAUACAGAAUACUACGAACAGUACCCUGAAACAGGUACUUGAAGGAGGAUUUAGUAGUAAAAAGAAAGCAAUGUAUUCUUUUGAACUCGGCUCUGAAGCGCGCACACACCGCC